UUCCCUCUUUGCUCUAUUCCCUCUUCUUCCUCAUUUGCCUCCCAUUUCUCAUCGCCAUUUUCAGUUCUGUUUUUUACUCCAUUUAUUUGCCCCCAUUUCUCAACAUCUCUCAAGCAUUAAUAGAUAUGUGAUUUUUGGAUCCACUUCUCAAUUCAAACUUGAAAAUCUACAUGGAGUAUCAGUGUAUCACCCACCAGUCCACCACCCGUUUUUUCGAUUAAACCCUUAUGGCACCUCGACGGAGAAUGGAUAUGCGAGCGGAAGAUGAACCCGACUUGGAGUAUGACUCCCCUUUUGUUUAGAUCUCUUUAUUGUGUUUGAGAGACUAUUAGUUUAGUUGUUUAGGUUUAGACUAUUUUAAGGAUGUAAUUUGAACUUUGGACUUAUUUUGAUUUGGUUGUAAUUUUCCUUUAUUUUAAACAGUUAAGACUUCUGUUAUAUUGCAUUGGUUUCACCUUUAAGUAA